UGGGGAAUUUUGCGCAAUGGGGGAAACCCUGACGCAGCAACGCCGCGUGGAGGAUGAAGUCCCUUGGGACGUAAACUCCUUUCGACCCGGACGAUUAUGACGGUACCGGAAGAAGAAGCACCGGCUAACUCUUUGCCAGCAGCCGCGGUAAUACAGAGGGUGCAAGCGUUGUUCGGAAUUAUUGGGCGUAAAGGGCGCGUAGGCGGUGUGGUAAGACUGUGGUGAAAUCUCCGGGCUCAACUCGGAAAUUGCCGCGGUGACUGCCGUGCUGGAGUGUGGGAGAGGUGAGUGGAAUUCCUGGUGUAGCGGUGAAAUGCGUAGAUAUCGGGAGGAACACCUGUGGCGAAAGCGGCUCACUGGACCACAACUGACGCUGAUGCGCGAAAGCUAGGGGAGCAAAC
rnacentral:rRNA from 1 species